rnacentral:lncRNA from 1 species
CUGUAUUGAUCUGAUCAGAGUGUAUUGAUUAGACUGUAUUGAUCUGAUCAGAGUGUAUUGAUUAGACUGUAUUGAUCUGAUCAGAGUGUAUUGAUCUUUCUCUGCUGGAUCAGUGUUGAAGAAUAUGGUCAUGCUGUCGGAAGAGAGCUGGUUAAAGAAGCUGAUUAACAAAAUGAACCAGCGCUCCCAGCAACAGAUCACCGGUAUGUAUUACUAUUGUUACUAAACCAUUAACUACUCAUUACUUUCUGUUACUGAAUAAUUAAUUACUCAGUAUUGCCAUUAACUACUAACUACUAAUUAUUAUUAUUAUUAUUAUGAUUAUAGAUCUGGAGAAGGUGUUGAAGGAGACGGAGGAAACACUGAAAUAUAAAACAGCCGAGCUGGUGAAGACCGGCAGCUACGCCGACCAGCUGAUUAAAGACAUUGUGGUUCUGAGAGGAGAUGUGAAGAAGAUAAAGGAGGAACUGAGCCGGUUGCAGGUUUCUUCAGUCUCUCAGGUAGCAGAACUGGAGAAGAUGCUGACCAAGACCAAACAGGAGCUGGAGAAAGGAAACCGCUCUCUGAACGACAAGGACGCCGAGUUAGCGAAGAACAUGGCCAGAAUCACUCAGCUAAUAGAGGAACUCAGACAGACUAAACUCAGAGCCCAGGAGAACGACGAGGAGGCAGCUGCUACUAUAGCCGGUGAGUUUUCCAUCCAUCCAUCCAUCAUCCAUCAUCCAUCCAACCAUUCAUCCA